rnacentral:tRNA from 2 species
GGGCAGUUAGCUCAGGGGUAGAGCGGCUCGUUUACACCGAGUUGGUCGGGGGUUCAAAUCCCUCACUGCCCA